rnacentral:lncRNA from 1 species
GUUGUGUUCCUGAACGCCUCAUUAGAAUCAUGUCUCAACUUGAUUUCCAAUGUUUGACGCAUUGACGACAAGACUGCGAGGACACUGGGAAGAAACUGGUAAGAGAUAUUUAACAUUUUUACUCUAACUCUACUCUUUACUUUUAAUAUGUUCCGUUUUUAAAAUGUCUUUUCAUUUUGCUUGACAGACGAUGAAUAGAACGCAUGGCGAACCAGAGGAGGGGGCAAGUCUAGGGGCGACAGGAUAUGAUGCAGACACAGACGACACACAUGAUGAGAAGGACAUUUUGGAUGGGGAACCAGCUGCAUCUCAAGAAGCUGCGUCUCCACAACCGUCAGACGAGCUGGGAGUAGCUGAUGAUGAAACAGAACCAGCUGCAUCUCAAGAAGCUGCAUCUCCACAACCGUCAGACGAGCUGGGAGGGAUGAUGAUGAAACAGGAGAAGCACACAUUGCCGCCAAAAACUCCUCUACUCCGCAGGAAACAGAGCGACCGAAAAGCCCAGGCCUGAUCCAGGUUGAGACGCCGACGAAGCGCUUCAAGAAAUAACACUGUAUAAGUGUAUAAGCUGCAUGUGACAUUUGCCAAAUAAACACGUGUUGACUUGGAGUUGUUUGUGUUGUGAUGGAGACCUUUCGUUUUAGCUUAAGUCAAAGUUUAAAGAUACAGUUUAA